ensembl:lncRNA
UUAACAGUUCAGUAUGUUUAAUGGUUGAAGUACAGCAUGACAAAGCAUAGACAGACAUCACUCCUUCAGUCAUUCACAUAGAGCCGUAAGCCGUAAGUAAGUUAUUAAGCCGUAAGUUGAUUAUUUCCCUGAUGUUUCAAGAUGCAGUUCUGGUUGAGUAGGGCUUAGUGAGCAGGAAGUAGGUUUGCAAAAUUCCAGAAACUCUAUUUCCCCCAAAAUUCCAAGAUUUUUCCAAAAACUCCGGAUGAAAGAUUCCCAGAAUCUGAAUGUAUUAAUCAGGGAAUCUGGAAUCCUUCAACGGGGAUAUCUAGACAAUUUACCGGAAUAUUGCAAGCGUAGCAGAGAGGACAUAAAAAUACAUUUUAGUCUUAAUUCUAGGAUGAAAGUAUAAUAGAACUAGAAGCAGUAUGUGAACAUCAGCGUUGGUUCCAUUCCACUUCAAUUCAAGUUCAUUCAGACACUGAAAUUCCAAUUGUCAUUCCAAUUCGUCAAUGCUUUUAAAUUAAUUUGGUUUACUUUCUGAAUGAACUGCAAACUGAAAUUGAAUUCAUCCCAACCCUGCUGGACAAACAGAGUUGUGGAACUAUUUUGUCCAUAUUGGCUUUUGAUCAGCAAACUUUUCCCCAACAGGAAAUAUGAAUGUGUAAAAUAAGAUAUUGUUUCCCAUGACAAACAGUUACCUAAACAUUUAACAUAUAGAAAUGUGCUUUAUGAAAUCAGGAAACACAUGAAAUCAGGAAACACAUGAAAUCAGGAAACACAUGAAUGUGUGUAGUUUUCAAGUUGGAAACAAUCCUAAUGUCUGAACAGUGAACAUGCAGUUUGACAUCUCUUUCCAGAAACAAAGUGUGGUAAGAAAAACUGCAACAACCUACCAACUAGUAAGCUUACCAUUCCCUAUGCAGCACACUACUUUUGACCAGGGAUCAUUGGGCUGUAGUCCACUACUUUUGACCAGGGAUCAUUGGGCUGUAGUCCACUACAUUUGACCAGGGCCCAUUGGGCUGUAGUCCACUACAUUUGACCAGGGCCCAUUGGGCUGUAGUCCACUACAUUUGACCAGGGACCAUAGGGCUGUAGUCCACUACUUUUGACCAGGGACCAUUGGGCUGUAGUCCACUACUGUUGACCAGGGACCAUAGGGCUGUAGUCCACUACAUUUGACCAGUGAUCAUAGGGCUGUAGUCCACUACAUUUGACCAGGGACCAUUGGGCUGUAGUCCACUACAAUUGACCAGGGACCAUUGGGCUGUAGUCUAUUACAUUUGACCAGGGACCAUAGGGCUGUAGUCCACUACAUUUGACAAGGGACCAUUGGGCUGUAGUCCACUACAUUUGACCAGGGAUCAUAGGGCUGUAGUCCACUACUGUUGACCAGGGACCAUAGGGCUGUAGUCCACUACAUUUGACCAGGGAUCAUAGGGCUGUAGUCCACUACAUUUGACCAGGGAUCAUAGGGCUGUAGUCCACUACAUUUGACCAGGGAUCAUUGGGCUCUAUAGCGAACAAUCGAAAGUAGUGCCCUAUACUGGGAAUAGGCUUCCAUUGGGACACAGCCUGUAAAUAUAAAUGGCCACCAUUUUUUUUACAACCACAUAACGUUAGGUUUGUGUGCGAUUUCUCUACGCUUCCCCUAAAGUGUACCCCCCCAACUCCCCCCCCCAACUCCCCGAUUUAAAAAAGUAAUACGCAGACAUCAGCAUUCAGCUACUAGGUUUAUAAAAUAUCAUACACAGUGAUGAACCUUUAUACGGUCCGUCUAGAUAGUACAACUCUAAGGGCACUUUUCCCAAAGUAGUGCACUAGUUUUGACCCGAGCCCUAUAAGCCCUUGUAGUGCACUAUAGAGGGAAAAGGCCAUUUGGGAUAUAAUUUCCCUCCUUUUUUUUGUUUUGUAAACUGUUGACAUUCAGAGCCACGCCCCUUCACCUGAGGGUUGGUCAUGUAACCAUACCGCCUGUCACGUUUUCAGAGAUGGGGAGAGAGAGAGACAGAGAGAAAGAGAGAGAGAGAAAGAGAGAGGGGGAGGGAGGGAGAUCGAGCAGAGGGAGAGAGAAAGACAAAGAGAGAGACAAAGAGAGAGAGACAGAGGGAGAGAGAGACAGAGGGAGAGAGAGACAGAGACAGACAGACAGACAGACAGACAGACAGACAGACAGACAGACAGACAGACAGACAGACAGACAGACAGACAGACA